rnacentral:rRNA from 1 species
GCCUGCCAAGUUCCUUUAAUGUAGUUAUCUCACAGCUUAAUUUGGUCUUAAGAAGUGAUCUCAUGUAUGGUUA